GCGUCCUGACUCCCCAGCUGCUCCGCUCACCCUGCUUCUCCCACCCCUACCCCCCCAGCCCAGGAAGGGGGCCCCUCACAGCCGGAUGGAAAAUGUUGCAGGUGACAGGGACCGACCUUCAGAGACUUGGUCAGCUCCUCCUUUGUGGUGCCUGUUCAAGAGGCUCAGAACCUGACGUGCCAAAUACCCAAGGGUCAGCUUUCAGAAGUCUCCCUCUGCUGAGCCACGCUCCCCACUCUGACUCUAGACUAUCUGAGAGACAGACACGUGCGCACACACCUUAGCUCUCUCCAGCUCUGGCUGACUUUCUGAGCACCGUUAUAGGCUCCCUCUGUUCCCUCUGUGGCGUGUGCGCUUUGACGAAGCGAAGCGAGCUGCUGCAUCGGAGUGGCCGGCACGGCAAGGAUGUGAGGAUGGCCUCAGAUCAGUAGCCUGUGAGGAACUGAACCUUACCAACAACAACGUGAGCUUCAGGCCCCCACAUGAACCCAGAGAUAAACUGUGAGAUGAAGGGAUCCCUGGGUGGUGCAGCGGUUUAGCGACUGCCUUUGGCCCAGGGCGCGAUCCUGGAGACCCGGGAUCGAAUCCCACGUCGGGCUCCCGGUGCAUGGAGCCUGCUUCUCCCUCUGCCUGUGUCUCUGCCUCUCUCUCUCUG